UACGUAGGGCGCAAGCGUUUGUCCGGAAUUAUUGGGCGUAAAGAGCUCGUAGGCGGCUUGUCACGUCGGGUGUGAAAGCCCGGGGCUUAACCCCCGGGUCUGCAUUCGAUACGGGCUGGCUGGAGUGUGGUAGGGGAGAUCGAAUUCCUGGUGUAGCGGUGAAAUGCGCAGAUAUCAGGAGGAACACCGGUGGCGAAGGCGGAUCUCUGGGCCAUUACUGACGCUGAGGAGCGAAAGCGUGGGGAGCGAACAGG
rnacentral:rRNA from 1 species